rnacentral:piRNA from 1 species
UGGCUAAAGUGAAUGUGUGACCGGCA